UUUUAUUUGAGAGUUUGAUCCUGGCUCAGGAUGAACGCUGGCGGCGUGCCUAACACAUGCAAGUUGAGCGAUUUACUUCGGUAAAGAGCGGCGGACGGGUGAGUAACGCGUGGGUAACCUACCCUGUACACACGGAUAACAUACCGAAAGGUAUGCUAAUACGGGAUAAUAUAUUUGAGAGGCAUCUCUUAAAUAUCAAAGGUGAGCCAGUACAGGAUGGACCCGCGUCUGAUUAGCUAGUUGGUAAGGUAACGGCUUACCAAGGCGACGAUCAGUAGCCGACCUGAGAGGGUGAUCGGCCACAUUGGAACUGAGACACGGUCCAAACUCCUACGGGAGGCAGCAGUGGGGAAUAUUGCACAAUGGGCGAAAGCCUGAUGCAGCAACGCCGCGUGAGUGAUGAAGGCCUUCGGGUCGUAAAACCCUGUCCUCAAGGAAGAUAAUGACGGUACUUGAGGAGGAAGCCCCGGCUAACUACGUGCCAGCAGCCGCGGUAAUACGUAGGGGGCUAGCGUUAUCCGGAUUUACUGGGCGUAAAGGGUGCGUAGGCGGUCUUUCAAGUCAGGAGUGAAAGGCUACGGCUCAACCGUAGUAAGCUCUUGAAACUGGGAGACUUGAGUGCAGGAGAGGAGAGUGGAAUUCCUAGUGUAGCGGUGAAAUGCGUAGAUAUU
rnacentral:rRNA from 1 species